ensembl:lncRNA
AAAAAAAAGGCACUUUCACUUCAUCUUAUGGCUACACACUGAUUGCCUGACAUUUCCAAAUCCCAACUUCACCCAUCUCAUAGUCUUCACAUUAAAAUGAAAGAGAGUGAAAACGCUGAAGAAAAUGUAUUUUCAAGCAUGGGGAGAAGCAGGACUUGAGUUUAUUUUUGGUGGAAAUGACCUGAGUUUCCAGAUUACAGAUGCGUGUCCGAGAACUUCAAAGAUGAUUUGUACACGGAAGUGUUAUGUCUACUGGAGCUGAACGAGACUGGCUGCACACAGGCCUACUGCAGCCAUCUAGCAUCCUCUGUGUAGCUGACAGGGCUCAUUUCAGCUCAGUGUUCCAGGGAAAUUUCAGCCACCAGCCACCAAUGCAUACAGGAUUUAGGGUGCAGGACCAGCGGCGGGGCCUACAGCUGCAGGGCAGGAGCUGUGAGCACAGGUGCUGGGAAGCAGCACCCUCAGCACAGCCUCACAGCACAGAGCACAUGGGCUGGGGCUCCACAUCCAGGGGAGGCACUGAUGGCUGUGGAGCACACAGCAAGCACAUACACAUGCCUGAUCACAGGUUCUCUGCACCUCAGAGCCAGGUGACUGCAGCAUGCCGUUCAUAUUUGGUGCCUUAGAUCAGAAGCCAGUUGCUGUGUCUUGGUACCUAUGGAGCAUUUUCAGUGUUCCAGCUGCACAUCUACCAAAGCCCUGCUGAAAUUCCAUGAAAUGCUAAUGGCAAGUUAAAACAAACAUUGAGGAUAACACCAAAAGUUACCGCUUGUGAGACGAAAACAGAAACAAGAUUCAAUUCUGUCCUUACAGUUUGCACACAUGACCAGGAGCGAGGCUGGUGCCAGGCUCUGCCCCAUUGUGCCUAUCGAGUGUCCCUGUGUUAGGAGGGAAUGUCCUGAGGAGCUGGCUGGCCGCUGGCAUUUAGGAAAUGAAUGAAUUGUGCUUGCCAGGUGCUUGAGAACAACUUUUGGCACGCAGGAGCUGGCAUGACACGAGUGCAUGGGCUGUGUUAUCCUUUCCUAUUCUCUCGACCUUCUCAUUGUGUCGGGGGACUGAACACAAGCCUGUUUCAGAGCACACAAAGUAUGCCGGGGGGUAUUUACAGGUGUUUUUACAGUAUAUUCAUUUAAAUGACAUAGAGUGGAAUUAUGGGGUAUUAUUCCAAAAAAAGACAACAGUGGAGACCUGAAAUGUGUCUGGAAUACGUUCUACAGAGGCACCAGGAAAAGCCAAGGAAAGCUGAGAAUCACAGGAUCACAGAAUAACAGAAUCGUAAAGAUUGGAAGGGACCUCUAGAGACCAUCAAGUCAUUACUGUUAUUUACAUCUAACGCUGAUAAAUUAAAUGGAUCAAGGCAUUUCCAUGACAACCUCACAGAAAAACAGGAUGCUUCUGUUCAAGUGGAUGGUCGAACAGCUGCCUUCAUGAGCAAGCGUCAUUCAAAACCUCAAUUUUUCAUUCACUAAACAAGGGAAGUAAGAAUCACAGAAUUACAGAAUCACAGAAUUGUAGGGGCUGGAAGGGAUCUCCAGAGGUCAUUGAGUCCAAUCCCCCUGCAAAGUGGGCCUCCUACAGCACAGGUAGGCAGCCAGUGAGAUCUUGAAUGUCUCCAGAGAAGGAGAAUCCACAGCCUCCCUUGGGCAGCCUGUUCCAUUGCUCUGUCAUCCUCACUGUGAAGAAGUUCUUUCGCAUAUUGGUGCAUAACUUCCUAUGCUCCAGUUUAUGUCCAUUUCCCCUUGUUCUGUCCCCACAGAUCACUGAAAAGAGGUAGGCCAUGUCCCUUUGACUCCCACGCUUAAAGUAUUUAUAAACAUUAAUAAGAUCACCAUUCAGUCUUCUUUUCUCAAGGCUGAACAGACCCAGGUCACUCAGCCUUUCCUCAUAUGGGAGAUGCUUCAGGCCCUUUAUCAUCUGUGGCCCUCCGCUGGACUCCCUUCAGGAGAUCCCUAUCUUUUGUACCAGGGAGCCCAGAACUGGACACAAUACUCCAGGUGAGGCCUGACCAGGGCAGAGUAGAGGGGAAGGACCACCUCCAUUGACGUGCUGAUCACUCUCCUUUUAAUGCACCUGAGGAUCCCGUUGGCCUUCUUGGCCCCCAGGGCUCACUGCUGACUCAUGGCCAACCUGCCGUCUGCCAGGAGAUAUAUGAAUAAAAAUACAAUGCAGGGAAAACUACUGAUAGGCUCAGACUAUUGUGUGUGAAGCCAUCCAUCACUGACUCAAUGCUUGCAAGUCCUUCUCCAUUUGCCUGAAGCUUCCCAUUCUCUUGUCAUCUGGACAGGGUGGGAAUUGUUUAUUUGUCUGGUGCGCAGCUGAAUCCAGGCCCACAGCUGCAGCUCCUAAACAUUAAUAGAAACAAUACAUUUGCCCUCACAGCAUGUCAAGAAACAUGGUCCUAUUUGUUUUGCUUAAAAAUAGUUGUAGGCAAAUAAAGCAGAAGAGGAAGAACCAGAAAUUUUUGAUAUCCAGCCCCUUGCUGGUGUACUUGGGACACUCGGCUGUACUCAGCAUGGCUUCUCAACCUCCUCAUGGCCCCUGGACCUCCACGUGCUUUGGGGAAUUGUCGUAUCAGAGUUCUGCCUGCGUGAAAAACCGUCAGCUUGCAAUCUGAAAGCUCAUCUUACCGAUACUUUAUCCCCCUGUAAAGCUAACGGGGAUGAAUAUACAGCACGCCUUAUGAAUGCUGCCUUUCACCAUCUCCUCCAGUUUCAGUCACUCUCAGCAGCUCUGUUCCAAGAAAGCUGGACAAAUAACCAAAUGCCGAAGUGUAUGAACCUGAAAGUCUGACACCUCACUAAAGAGUGUUACUCGGGUCUUCCACAUGAAUCUUUCUCUACACGUGGCUCAGUAACAAUGCUGCAAAUGGUCU